UACAGAGGUGGCAAGCGUUGUUCGGAAUUACUGGGCGUAAAGGGCGCGUAGGCGGCCUUCUAAGUCAGACGUGAAAUCCCCCGGCUUAACCUGGGAACUGCGUCUGAUACUGGGAGGCUUGAGUAUGGGAGAGGGAUGUAGAAUUCCAGGUGUAGCGGUGAAAUGCGUAGAUAUCUGGAGGAACACCGGUGGCGAAGGCGGCAUCCUGGACCAAUAUUGACGCUGAGGAGCGAAAGCCAGGGGAGCAAACGGG
rnacentral:rRNA from 1 species